UACAGAGGGGGCAAGCGUUAUUCGGAAUUAUUGGGCGUAAAGCGCGCGCAGGUGGUUCCUUAAGUCUGAUGUGAAAGCCCACGGCUCAACCGUGGAGGGUCAUUGGAAACUGGGGAACUUGAGUGCAGAAGAGGAAAGUGGAAUUCCAAGUGUAGCGGUGAAAUGCGUAGAGAUUUGGAGGAACACCAGUGGCGAAGGCGACUUUCUGGUCUGUAACUGACACUGAGGCGCGAAAGCGUGGGGAGCAAACAGG
rnacentral:rRNA from 1 species